AGAAGGGAUGGGCAACUAUGAACAAAUGGAGUUGGUAAAAAUUUCCAUGACCCUACUGGCAAGAUUAUUUUGGUUUCAUUAAAAAAAAAGCAACAACAACCAAAAAAAAGCCAUCUCAAAGGAAGCAUUGUGAAGAGAAGGAAGGACAUACUAUGCUAACACUGUGCAGAAGCAGAAGAAUAUUUAAUGUUCAUAACACAUUGUGAAAAAGAUUUCAACAUGACUUACUGCACUAUUUCAGAUGUGAAUAAAAGCUGCAUCCAGAGACACCUCAAAUGUUGGCCAGUGUCUCAUUGAAAGCACCUUAGUGAUGCUGGGCACCUUGAAAAGAUCCCUGUGCUUCAACUUGAGGCACCAGCCUGGAAGCAGCAUCCAGAGUGUUGAGCUUACUCCGUUUCCAAGGUGGCCGGCGUAUGUGAGCAAAGCCUGGUCACCAGCAACAGGAGGAUCCAGAAAGGUCGAUUUCUAAUGUUCUCAUCAUCAGGAUUUGGAAUAAAACAUGAAAUGAAUUCGUCCUUGAUACAGAAUCAAAACUUUUUAAGAAUAUCUAAUUUACCACCCUUAAAAGAAAGUUGGCCAGCAAUGUUUACCCACUCCCUGCUAUGAAUCCCCCCAUCUCUCUCUCUCUCUCUCUCUCUCUCUCUCUCUCUCUCUCUCUCACACACACACACACACACACACACAUCUUGGCAGCAGCUGUAGCCAGACAGUAUCUUCAUCCUGGAUGCCUUCUUGAUUCCCAACACACAGCUGCUAAGUUGACCCUCACUCACCCU